GCAAGUCGAACGCUUCUUUCCUCCCGAGUGCUUGCACUCAAUUGGAAAGAGGAGUGGCGGACGGGUGAGUAACACGUGGGUAACCUACCCAUCAGAGGGGGAUAACACUUGGAAACAGGUGCUAAUACCGCAUAACAGUUUAUGCCGCAUGGCAUAAGAGUGAAAGGCGCUUUCGGGUGUCGCUGAUGGAUGGACCCGCGGUGCAUUAGCUAGUUGGUGAGGUAACGGCUCACCAAGGCCACGAUGCAUAGCCGACCUGAGAGGGUGAUCGGCCACACUGGGACUGAGACACGGCCCAGACUCCUACGGGAGGCAGCAGUAGGGAAUCUUCGGCAAUGGACGAAAGUCUGACCGAGCAACGCCGCGUGAGUGAAGAAGGUUUUCGGAUCGUAAAACUCUGUUGUUAGAGAAGAACAAGGACGUUAGUAACUGAACGUCCCCUGACGGUAUCUAACCAGAAAGCCACGGCUAACUACGUGCCAGCAGCCGCGGUAAUACGUAGGUGGCAAGCGUUGUCCGGAUUUAUUGGGCGUAAAGCGAGCGCAGGCGGUUUCUUAAGUCUGAUGUGAAAGCCCCCGGCUCAACCGGGGAGGGUCAUUGGAAACUGGGAGACUUGAGUGCAGAAGAGGAGAGUGGAAUUCCAUGUGUAGCGGUGAAAUGCGUAGAUAUAUGGAGGAACACCAGUGGCGAAGGCGGCUCUCUGGUCUGUAACUGACGCUGAGGCUCGAAAGCGUGGGGAGCAAACAGGAUUAGAUACCCUGGUAGUCCACGCCGUAAACGAUGAGUGCUAAGUGUUGGAGGGUUUCCGCCCUUCAGUGCUGCAGCAAACGCAUUAAGCACUCCGCCUGGGGAGUACGACCGCAAGGUUGAAACUCAAAGGAAUUGACGGGGGCCCGCACA
rnacentral:rRNA from 1 species